rnacentral:lncRNA from 10 species
UAGCUCAUCAUGCUGACCAUUUAUCUCCCAGGUUUUGGAAAAAGCAUUGAUGUUGACUGCUAGUUGACAAAGGGGAAGAAAUAGGUUCUUCAGGUGGCAGCAAUCAAGAAAACAAAGGCUUCCCAAAGUCACACAUGCAACCGGGCACUAUCAGGGCUGUCAGAGUUUCCAAGGACAGGGAGAGGGAGGCAGAUCCCAUGAAAUGAGGCUGGACAGGAAGUCCUCCCAACGAGGUUAUCAGGCAAAUCAAGAAGAGUGGGAAGUGCCCGAAGACAGGAGGCUGCCUGCCAGCGACUCCACGGGCUCAGGCUGUUUGUAGUUCAUGUGCAUAAUUUUUAAAGAUAGACAUAAGACAUACCCCUGAAGAUGAGUACAAGAGAGAAAGACAGGGCUCUGAAAAUACUGCCAUAGGCUCAAGUUCCAAAGUGCUGGAGUUACAAAAGUAUAAAGGACAACGCAAAGGACUUUUUAGCCAAAGAAGAACCAGAAAGGAAGAGUCCUAGGGAAUUGGAGACGUCGCGAAGGAAUGUUGUAAGGAGAAUUCAAGCCUAAAACGGUUCUGAGCACUGAUUUCAUCAAGCCGAUGGAGGCAACAACAUAUUCCUUAGGGAAAAUUAAGAUGCACAGUAUGCUUCAAGAUGAUGGCCAAGAACAACCAACUCAACGAGCCUUCAGGAAUUCAUGAUUUGAAUAUCAUGUUCAAGCUACAGACAUCAGCAAACUCGAGAAAAGAAGGUUUGCUCUGGGAGAUUCUACAUGUGACCUGUUUAUAUGUAAUUAUAUUAUCUAUUACUCAAGUAUUUGUCUUGUGCUGUCUAAAUUAUAAGCUUCUCAACUGUUUGCCUUGAGUGAGAUGUGCACGCUAAAGCCUCUCAAUAAAUAUUAAUUGAAUGAAUAAUUGAAAAAAACC